rnacentral:rRNA from 1 species
UACGGAGGGGGCUAGCGUUGUUCGGAAUUACUGGGCGUAAAGCGCGCGUAGGCGGCUUUGUAAGUUAGAGGUGAAAGCCCGGAGCUCAACUCCGGAAUUGCCUUUAAGACUGCAUCGCUUGAAUCAUGGAGAGGUGAGUGGAAUUCCGAGUGUAGAGGUGAAAUUCGUAGAUACUCGGAAGAACACCAGUGGCGAAGGCGACUCACUGGACAUGUAUUGACGCUGAGGUGCGAAAGCGUGGGGAGCAAACAGG